AUGUGCCUUCAUUCUUCAAUUUCUGAUGCAUUUGCCUUGUAUUCCAUCCCUUUUCCACAUGUACUAGCUAUUAGACAACUUUCACACACAUGUUUUGCAUCAUUUCAUCUUGCAAACAUCAACUUUUGGCCACUUUACACCUCUACACACAUGUUAUGCAUCAUUUCAGCUUGCAAUUAUGUUUGUAGUUGCUGAAAAUGUGAAUACAACUUGUAAAGCAAUCCAACAAAUGGCAUCUUUCACUUCUUUUCCUUUCAAAUUGUUCCUUAAGUGUAUGUAUCUGCACACUUCCAUACUUCAACUUCAUUAUUCAGAUUUUUGCAUGUGUUGAAACCCUUUUUAAAACACCAAAAAC
rnacentral:lncRNA from 1 species